UCUAUCAAAGGAGAAUAGUUACCC
rnacentral:tRNA from 1 species